CGAACCUGUAAAUGGAAAUUUAAAUUAUUUUAGAUCAGUUUCUAUAAGAAAAUAAUUCAAUUCCAUGGAUUUUCAUUUUUUAAAUCAGUAAAAAAAGUGUCCACAUGAAAUUCAGGUUUCAAAUGUCAAAGCAUCAUCUAGACUAAACCAUAAAACGAUUGGCAAAAAAAAAUUAAACGCCCUUUUGAAAUUCGAAACGCGAUUUGUUGGGAUGAUCAUCAAAAGUAAUUGAUGUAAGUAGACAAUUACCUUAGGCCAGCAGUUCCUCUUGGCCUUGUACUUGUGGUAAGCACGUCCAGCCUUCAAUAUCGGUUUGUCAAUACGUCCACCACCAGCAACAAUACCAACCAUGGCUCUGUUGUUGGAGGGAAUGACUUUCUUUGCUCCAGAUGGUAAUUUUACUCGAGUCUUCUUGCUGUCAGGAUUGUGGGCAAUUACUGUUGCGUAGUUACCGGAUGCACGGGCAAGUCGGCCACGAUCUCCAGUCUUUUCUUCGAGGUUGCACACGAUGGUACCCUCAGGCAUGG